rnacentral:rRNA from 1 species
AUGCCGCCGGCGAACGGUGGCGCCGCCGCCGGACCGAGCUCCGGCAGCGGCAGGGACGGCCCGCCGGCGGCCACCGCAGCGGUGAAACGCAACAGGCCUCGGUAUCAUGCAUUUACUCAGCAACAACUCCCAGCGUGCAAGCCUAUACUGUCACCCAAUAUGGUCAUUCCCAUUCUUGUAUUCGUGGGCUUGCUUUUCAUUCCGAUUGGCCUUGCUUGCUACGCGGCUUCAAACAAGGUCUUCGAAGUGGUUUACCGAUACGACACGAAAUGCGUUCCGAAGAACAUGCUUCACAACAAAGUGGGCUACAUCCAGAACGCGUCGAUAAACAAGACAUGCACAAUAAAUCUCAAGAUCCCCAAUGCUAUGAAGAGGCCAAUCUUCGUAUACUACCAGCUCGACCGGUUCUACCAGAACCACAGAAGGUACGCGACGAGCUUCAACAUCGCGCAGCUGAGCGACCCCAAGGAGGAGGCGAACGCCGACAUAAAGGACUGCAAGCCUGAAGCCUACGCCGGCAAAGGCAUCCCCGUGGUGCCAUGCGGCCUCGUGGCCUGGAGCCUGUUCAACGACACCUACAGCUUGGCCCGCCGUCCCCGUCGCGCUGGCGGCAUCGGCGGCGUCGAGGCGCUGAGGGUGAUCAAGAGCGGGAUCUCGUGGCGGAGCGAGCGGGAGCGGCUGUUCGGCAAGCACGUGUACCCCAAGAACUUCCAGAACGGCAGCCUCGUCGGCGGCGGGCGGCUCGACCCGAGAAAGCCCCUGAGCGAGCAGGAGGAGCUGAUGGUGUGGAUGCGGACGGCGGCGAUGCCGCGGUUCAGGAAGCUGUACGGGAGGGUGGAGGCGGACCUGGACGCCGGCGAGACGGUGGCGGUGGAGGUGCGGAACAGCUACAACACGUACAGCUUCGACGGGGGCAAGGCGGUGGUGCUGUCCACCGCCGGGCCGCUAGGCGGGCGCAAAGCCUUCCUCGGCCGCGCCUACCUCGUCACCGGCAUGGCCUGCCUCGUCCUCGCGCUGCUGCUCACGCUCGUCUGCCUCUUCUUCCCCAUAGGAGCAUCUCCGGCUGCGGUAGCCAUUGAAUCCUCCAUCCAUGGAUCAUGUCGACGAGCAUAG